rnacentral:sRNA from 1 species
CUCACAGUCCUGGAGAUGAAGGUACUCUGUUUACCCACAAAGCAGAUACAACGCAGGAAAUGGCAGAGCAAGCUUCCAUAUAUAGCCCUAUCCCUAUGCCUCCUCCUUGACCCGGAAGAAUUGCCUCUGCAGAUGAGGGUUGUUCAGUCUCCAUGAGCCAUACAGUCCUUAGCCUUU